rnacentral:lncRNA from 1 species
AAUAGGUUCCAUAUGAUUUCUUUGUUGUGUAAGAAAUUUUUUUAAUUUAUUUUUUUAUUUAUUUUUUUAUCUCGUUUAGUAUGGUCAGGGUUUCUCCCUCUACGGCCCGCAGCCUUAUGUGAAGCUCAUCUACAACCCAACUGCAACACAAAAAAUCUCCUUUGAAUAUGGAAUUACACAGCUUGUAAGUAAUCAGGAAUAUGUAUUAAUAUCACAUCAGUUACAUUAUAGACAUCUGCCAGUACCUAAAAUCAUUUUUCACCUAACUGCAUUCUGUAUU